rnacentral:rRNA from 1 species
GGCCGCGGGAUUAGAGUUUGAUCCUGGCUCAGAUUGAACGCUGGCGGCAUGCUUUACACAUGCAAGUCGAACGGCAGCGGGCCCUUCGGGGUGCCGGCGAGUGGCGAACGGGUGAGUAAUACAUCGGAACGUGUCCUAUAGUGGGGGAUAACCCAGCGAAAGUUGGGCUAAUACCGCAUACGUCCUACGGGAGAAAGCGGGGGAUCGCAAGACCUCGCGCUAGUGGAGCGGCCGAUGUCCGAUUAGCUUGUUGGUGAGGUAAAGGCUCACCAAGGCGACGAUCGGUAGCUGGUCUGAGAGGAUGAUCAGCCACACUGGGACUGAGACACGGCCCAGACUCCUACGGGAGGCAGCAGUGGGGAAUUUUGGA